CAACUUGGUUGGCGUGAAUGAUCAGGUUCACCGUAGUAUCCAUGCCACCACUCUAAACCAUACGCAUUGGAUACCCCUACUUCCACAGUCAUCCUCAUCACAACAACAAUCACCAC
rnacentral:ribozyme from 1 species